rnacentral:rRNA from 1 species
ACGGGUGAGUAAUGUCUGGGAAACUGCCUGAUGGAGGGGGAUAACUACUGGAAACGGUAGCUAAUACCGCAUAACGUCGCAAGACCAAGAGGGGGACCUUCGGGCCUCUUGCCAUCAGAUGUGCCCAGAUGGGAUUAGCUAGUAGGUGGGGUAACGGCUCACCUAGGCGACGAUCCCUAGCUGGUCUGAGAGGAUGACCAGCCACACUGGAACUGAGACACGGUCCAGACUCCUACAGGAGGCAGCAUG